rnacentral:rRNA from 1 species
CAGUAGCCACGGGAAUACAGAGGGUGCGAGCGUUAAUCGGAUUUACUGGGCGUAAAGCGUGCGUAGGCGGCUUUUUAAGUCGGAUGUGAAAUCCCUGAGCUUAACUUAGGAAUUGCAUUCGAUACUGGGAAGCUAGAGUAUGGGAGAGGAUGGUAGAAUUCCAGGUGUAGCGGUGAAAUGCGUAGAGAUCUGGAGGAAUACCGAUGGCGAAGGCAGCCAUCUGGCCUAAUACUGACGCUGAGGUACGAAAGCAUGGGGAGCAAACAGGAUUAGAGACCCCGGUAGUCCCUGUCUCUUAUAC